rnacentral:rRNA from 1 species
ACGGAGGGAGCUAGCGUUGUUCGGAAUUACUGGGCGUAAAGCGCACGUAGGCGGCUUUGUAAGUCAGAGGUGAAAGCCUGGAGCUCAACUCCAGAACUGCGUUUGAGACUGCAUCGCUUGAAUCUAGGAGAGGUGAGCGGAAUUCCGGGUGUAGGGGUGAAAUUCGUAGAUAUUCGGAAGAACACCAGUGGCGAAGGCGGCCACCUGGACUGGAACUGACGCUGAGGUGCGAAAGCGUGGGGAGCAAACAG